CACUGGGGGGCAGCACGGCCAGUGAGGGUGCUGGGAGUCCCUCUGCACCACCGGGUAGGCUCCGUCCACGGGGCCAUGGGUGGCAUGCUCCAUCACCUUCAGCUACCUCGAGCUCUGCAGACCCUGGGGAUUACCCCAAGGCACAGGCGGCAGCUCUGGCCCCAUGUGGGGCAGUCUGCAGGGUGCCUGCACAGCCCUGGCAGAGCAGGCAUGUGGCACCUGUCCCAGGGGCUCUGCUGUGCAGCCAACACCUUGUUCUUCCUCUUGCAGAAAAGCUGAUGAGGACCAUGGAAGCAGGUACUGGGAGUGACCCUGGGUGCUGGUGCCUCUGCUCCUCCUUGGGGCAAGAUGCAACCACCCCCCUGCCUAUGCCAGCUCCCUGGGAUGGCGAUGGGACAAUGCCCUGCUCCCGUCCCCAGACAAGCACCUUGGUGCCCCACGGGCUGCUCCACCCGGCAAGCAUCCCUGGAGCGGGGCCAUGCCCCUGACACCUCCUUCUCUUCCCUUCCAGAAAACUAUGACCUUCGACUCCAGAAAGGUGAGGUCUGCAGAGGAGGGAAAAGGGAGCUGCCAAAAAAGCGGGCUGUGGGGUCCCGCUAAACUCCCAGCAAGGCUGAGCACCUCCUGCAGGUGCCCAGGAGCUGGGGCUGAGCGGGGAUCAGCCCCCCGGAGAGGGCACUCACACACGACACGGCACACAGCCCCAGGCGCUUUUCCACGUUGUCCACUCUGCCCCCACCGUCUGCCCCACGGCCCAAAGCCGAACCCCUGUCGCUUGCCGAGGGGGGCGGCGAGGCAGGGGCGCAAAGCUGCUGUCGCAACACCCUUGUGCAAGAUGAGCAGAAUUCGCUCCGGAUGGCAAGCGGGCUCCACAGCUGUCCGGAGAGUAAAGCAGUAGGCUGCGGUGGCUCAGGGCUGCAGCCGGAGGGGAUGCCAGCGCGGCCAGGCUGGGUCCAGGCAGCUCGGAGCGAGGCACAGCAUCCGCACAAGUGCCGUGCUGGAGCGAGGGUGGUGGAGGAACCCUGGAGCAGCCCCGGCUGCAGGGCGCAGGGUGCAUGGGGGUCUGCCGGCUCCGGGGCCCCUCUGAGCUGUUGGCACAGCUUGAGACGGGCCGGGAGCAGGGGCAGCCCAGGUGGGGAGGUGCCCAGAGAGGUCCAAGGGGCAGCGGGUGGCCUCCCUGGGGCGCGGGAGGGCUGCAGGAAGCACAGCCAAGGGGCCUCCCAACAGCGUGCCUCGGGGAGGGAGGGGUGGGCAGUGCGCGCAGGGCUCGCCGGAGGGAUUGCACAUGCUAAAGACCCUCUUUUGGUUGCAGAGAGAGCCAUGAAAGAGCUGGCUUUCCGAAGGGCACGGAGCUACCAGGGUGAGCGCUGGGGCUGGCGGGAGCUGUGGGGACUGCCACCCACCGGGAGGGGGACGGGUGGAGGGUGCCCUGUGGUGCCGAGCCUGGAUCACCCCGGCAGCUUGGGUCCAUCUCCCGGCGCUUGGAGCCGCGCAGGGAUGCUUGGCUGGGAGAGGCAUGGCAUGGCCCAGCGGGGGGCAGGAGGCGUCGGGUCUCUGCCCACCCUCCAUCGCCCAGGGCACGUGGGCAGGAGGGGACGGGGGGCUGGCGGACCCCUCCACAGCCCACGGCUCAUGGGGCCAUACCCCUCUCUCCACAGUGACCAUCACCCUGGACUCAAGCCACCAGCACCCCGAACUUGUCGUGUCGGAGAACGACCGAUGCGUCCGGUGCCGGCCCUCCUCGCAGGGGCCAGCCCCCCGCAUCGCUGUGGGGCACCCGGGCUUUGCAUCCCAACGGGCUUACUGGGA
rnacentral:lncRNA from 1 species